AUUGAACGCUGGCGGCAUGCCUUACACAUGCAAGUCGAACGGCAGCACGGGAGCAAUCCUGGUGGCGAGUGGCGAACGGGUGAGUAAUAUAUCGGAACGUGCCCAGUCGUGGGGAUAACGUAGCGAAAGCUACGCUAAUACCGCAUACGAUCUACGGAUGAAAGCGGGGGAUCGCAAGACCUCGCGCGAUUGGAGCGGCCGAUAUCAGAUUAGGUAGUUGGUGAGGUAAAGGCUCACCCAAGCCGGACGAUCUGUAGCUGGUCCUGAGAGGACGACCAGCCACACUGGGACUGAGACACGGCCCAGACUCCUACGGGAGGCAGCAGUGGGGAAUUUUGGACAAUGGGCGCAAGCCUGAUCCAGCAAUGCCGCGUGC
rnacentral:rRNA from 1 species